GUUGUAUGGUUAAGUGACUAAGCGUACACGGUGGAUGCCUUGGCAGUCAGAGGCGAUGAAAGACGUAGUAACUUGCGAUAAGCCCAGAUUAGGUAGUAACAACCAUUUGAGUCUGGGAUUUCUGAAUGGGGAAACCCACGUGCAUAAGCACGUAUCCUUACCUGAAUACAUAGGGUAAGGAGGCGAACCGGGGGAACUGAAACAUCUAAGUACCCCGAGGAAAAGAAAUCAACCGAGAUUCCGAAAGUAGCGGCGAGCGAAAUUGGACUAGCCCUUAAGCUUUACACGCGUUAGACGAACGGUCUGGAAAGUCCGACGAUACAGGGUGAUAGUCCCGUAGUUGACGACGUGUGUUCAGUGAAAUCGAGUAGGGCGGGACACGUGAUAUCCUGUCUGAAUAUGGGGGGACCAUCCUCCAAGGCUAAAUACUACUGACUGACCGAUAGUGAACCAGUACCGUGAGGGAAAGGCGAAAAGAACCCCUGUGAGGGGAGUGAAAUAGAACCUGAAACCGUGUACGUACAAGCAGUAGGAGCAGGCUUUGUCCUGUGACUGCGUACCUUUUGUAUAAUGGGUCAGCGACUUAUAUUCAGUGGCAAGGUUAACCAUCUAGGGGAGCCGUAGGGAAACCGAGUCUUAACUGGGCGUUCAGUCUCUGGAUAUAGACCCGAAACCAGGUGAUCUAGCCAUGGGCAGGUUGAAGGUUGAGUAACAUCAACUGGAGGACCGAACCGACUAAUGUUGAAAAAUUAGCGGAUGACUUGUGGCUAGGGGUGAAAGGCCAAUCAAACCUGGAGAUAGCUGGUUCUCCCCGAAAGCUAUUUAGGUAGCGCCUCGGACGAAUACUACUGGGGGUAGAGCACUGUUAAGGCUAGGGGGUCAUCCCGACUUACCAACCCUUUGCAAACUCCGAAUACCAGUAAGUACUAUCCGGGAGACACACGGCGGGUGCUAACGUCCGUCGUGGAGAGGGAAACAACCCAGACCGCCAGCUAAGGUCCCAAAUUACUACUAAGUGGGAAACGAUGUGGGAAGGCUCAGACAGCCAGGAUGUUGGCUUAGAAGCAGCCAUCAUUUAAAGAAAGCGUAAUAGCUCACUGGUCGAGUCGGCCUGCGCGGAAGAUGUAACGGGGCUAAGUAGUAAACCGAAGCUGCGGCAAUGUGCUUUUGCACAUUGGGUAGGGGAGCGUUCUGUAAGCGGUUGAAGGUGUGUGGUAACGCAUGCUGGACGUAUCAGAAGUGCGAAUGCUGACAUGAGUAACGAUAAAGGGGGUGAAAAACCUCCUCGCCGGAAGACCAAGGGUUCCUGUCCAACGUUAAUCGGGGCAGGGUAAGUCGACCCCUAAGGCGAGGCCGAAAGGCGUAGUCGAUGGGAAACGGGUUAAUAUUCCCGUACUUCUUACAAUUGCGAUGGGGGGACGGAGAAGGCUAGGUGGGCCUGGCGACGGUUGUCCAGGUUCAAGUGCGUAGGCUUAAGAGUUAGGUAAAUCCGGCUCUUUUUAAGGCUGAGACACGACGUCGAGCACCUACGGGUGUGAAGUCAUUGAUGCCAUGCUUCCAGGAAAAGCCUCUAAGCUUCAGAUUGUAAGGAAUCGUACCCCAAACCGACACAGGUGGUCGGGUAGAGAAUACCAAGGCGCUUGAGAGAACUCGGGUGAAGGAACUAGGCAAAAUGGUACCGUAACUUCGGGAGAAGGUACGCUCUUGAUGGUGAAGUCCCUUGCGGAUGGAGCUGACGAGAGUCGCAGAUACCAGGUGGCUGCAACUGUUUAUUAAAAACACAGCACUGUGCAAAAUCGUAAGAUGACGUAUACGGUGUGACGCCUGCCCGGUGCCGGAAGGUUAAUUGAUGGGGUUAGACUUCGGUCGAAGCUCUUGAUCGAAGCCCCGGUAAACGGCGGCCGUAACUAUAACGGUCCUAAGGUAGCGAAAUUCCUUGUCGGGUAAGUUCCGACCUGCACGAAUGGCGUAAUGAUGGCCACGCUGUCUCCACCCGAGACUCAGUGAAAUUGAAAUCGCUGUGAAGAUGCAGUGUACCCGCGGCUAGACGGAAAGACCCCGUGAACCUUUACUACAGCUUGGCACUGAACAUUGACCCUACAUGUGUAGGAUAGGUGGGAGCUUUGAAGCACGUACGCCAGUAUGUGUGGAGCCGUCCUUGAAAUACCACCCUUGUAGUGUUGAUGUUCUAACGUCGACCCCUAAUCGGGGUUGCGGACAGUGCCUGGUGGGUAGUUUGACUGGGGCGGUCUCCUCCCAAAGAGUAACGGAGGAGCACGAAGGUGGGCUAAUCACGGUUGGACAUCGUGAGGUUAGUGCAAUGGCAUAAGCCCGCUUGACUGCGAGAAUGACAAUUCGAGCAGGUGCGAAAGCAGGUCAUAGUGAUCCGGUGGUUCUGAAUGGAAGGGCCAUCGCUCAACGGAUAAAAGGUACUCCGGGGAUAACAGGCUGAUACCGCCCAAGAGUUCAUAUCGACGGCGGUGUUUGGCACCUCGAUGUCGGCUCAUCACAUCCUGGGGCUGAAGUCGGUCCCAAGGGUAUGGCUGUUCGCCAUUUAAAGUGGUACGCGAGCUGGGUUUAGAACGUCGUGAGACAGUUCGGUCCCUAUCUGCCGUGGGCGUUGGAAGAUUGAAGGGGGCUGCUCCUAGUACGAGAGGACCGGAGUGGACGAACCUCUGGUGUUCGGGUUGUGUCGCCAGACGCAUUGCCCGGUAGCUAAGUUCGGAAUCGAUAACCGCUGAAAGCAUCUAAGCGGGAAGCGAGCCCUGAGAUGAGUCUUCCCUGAUACUUUAAGUAUCCUAAAGGGUUGUCGGAGACUACGACGUUGAUAGGUCAGGUGUGUAAGUGCUGUGAGGCAUUGAGCUAACUGAUACUAAUUGCCCGUGAGGCUUAACCAUACAACACCCAAGGGGUUU
rnacentral:rRNA from 1 species